rnacentral:rRNA from 1 species
UGGGGAAUAUUGGACAAUGGGCGCAAGCCUGAUCCAGCAAUGCCGCGUGUGUGAAGAAGGUUUUCGGAUUGUAAAGCACUUUCGGCGGGGACGAUGAUGACGGUACCCGCAGAAGAAGCCCCGGCUAACUUCGUGCCAGCAGCCGCGGUAAUACGAAGGGGGCUAGCGUUGCUCGGAAUGACUGGGCGUAAAGGGCGCGUAGGCGGUUCACGCAGUCAGAUGUGAAAUUCCUGGGCUCAACCUGGGGGCUGCAUUUGAUACGCGUGGGCUAGAGUGGGAAAGAGGGUCGUGGAAUUCCCAGUGUAGAGGUGAAAUUCGUAGAUAUUGGGAAGAACACCGGUGGCGAAGGCGGCGACCUGGUCCUUGACUGACGCUGAGGCGCGAAAGCGUGGGGAGCAAACAGGAUUAGAUACCCUGGUAGUCCACGCUGUAAACGAUGUGCGCUGGAUGUUGGGCGCCUAGCCGUUCAGUGUCGUAGCUAACGCGGUAAGCGCACCGCCUGGGGA